rnacentral:lncRNA from 1 species
CCUGUACACACUCCAACAUAUCUCUGCAGCCCAGAAACAGAACAGAAACAAUAUGGUAAGUAGGCUGAAGAUAGAGACCUGCUGCAUCCUGCCAGAAGGAAACAGAGGCUCUGGAGCCUGGGCUCACCAAGGUGCUGUACAGGUGACCACAGGUGCUAUCAGCUCAGGAAAGUGGUGGUCUUGGCAUGUCAUGCCUAGAAGACGUUGCUUUGCUCCAGUACUCUCUAAUGCCUGGCUUUUUAAACUGUCUCUUCGU